rnacentral:rRNA from 1 species
GAGGAAUAUUGGUCAAUGGGCGAGAGCCUGAACCAGCCAAGUAGCGUGCAGGAAGACGGCCCUAUGGGUUGUAAACUGCUUUUAUGUGGGGAUAAAGUGAGCUACGUGUAGUUUAUUGCAGGUACCACAUGAAUAAGGACCGGCUAAUUCCGUGCCAGCAGCCGCGGUAAUACGGAAGGUCCGGGCGUUAUCCGGAUUUAUUGGGUUUAAAGGGAGCGUAGGCUGGAGAUUAAGUGUGUUGUGAAAUGUAGACGCUCAACGUCUGACUUGCAGCGCAUACUGGUUUCCUUGAGUACGCACAACGUUGGCGGAAUUCGUCGUGUAGCGGUGAAAUGCUUAGAUAUGACGAAGAACUCCGAUUGCGAAGGCAGCUGACGGGAGCGCAACUGACGCUGAAGCUCGAAGGUGCGGGUAUCGAACAGGAUUAGAUACCCUGGUAGUCCGCACAGUAAACGAUGGAUGCCCGCUGUUGGUACCUGGUAUCAGCGGCUAAGCGAAAGCAUUAAGCAUCCCACCUGGGGAGUACGCCGGCAACGGUG